GCUGGAGUGGUGUAGUGGUUUGAGUUUUGGACUGUAAGUCCGGAUAUCAGGGUUCAAUCCCCCACUCUGCCA